rnacentral:rRNA from 1 species
GCCCCUAAAAUAAUUAGAGGUGUGACCUGCCCAAUGAUCUUGAAAUUAAAAACAUUAAAAAAGUUUGAACAGGAUUUAAAGGACGCGGUAUCUUGACCGUGGUAAUGUAGCAUAAUCACUCGCCACUUAAUUAGUGGAUAGUAUGAAUGGUUAAACGAGUAUAACACUGUCUCAAGUAAAAAUUUUAUAAAUUUGGAUUAAUAGUAAAGAUACUAUUUAAAAUUAUAAGACGAAAAGACCCUAUAGAGCUUAACUAUACUCUUUUUAUAAAAACCUAAGUUUACUUAAAAGGAUAAAAAGACUGGUAGUUUAGUUGGGGCGACUGUCUUCUAAAUCUAACGAAGACAAACAAAAUUAAUUAACUAAUUUAUUGUAUAACACAUUAGUUUAACAAUUACUAAAGUAGGUAAUAAUGACCCGUUUUUUUAUAUAAAUUUAAAAAACGAUCAAUAAAUAAAAGCUACCUUAGGGAUAACAGGAUAAUUUUAUUCUAGAGAUCUUAUCGAAGAUAAAGUUUGUCACCUCUAUGUUGAAUUAAGAUAUCCCAGUAAUGCAGAAGUUACUAAAGGUAGGUCUGUUCGACCUUUAAAAUCUU